UUAAAAGGCCAUGCCACCCUGAACAAGCCUGAUCCCAUCUGAUCUUGGAAGCUAAGCAGGGUCGGGCCUGGUUAGUACUUGGAUGGGAGACCACCUAGGAAGAUCAGGUGCUAUAGGUG
rnacentral:rRNA from 1 species